rnacentral:tRNA from 1 species
GGCUUGAUGGCUCAGUUGGUUAGAGCGCCGUGCUAACAACACGAAGACGAUGAGUUCAAUCCUCAUGCAAGCCA